AGCUUGGAAGCAGCUAUUCAUUCAAAGAGUGCGUAACAGCUCACUAGUCGAGCGGCAAAGCGUGGAUAAUAAACGGGCAUCAAGUAUACCACCGAAGUUCUGGGCACGAAAGUGCGGUAGGGGAGCAUUCCAUUCCGCGUUGAAGCCGAACCGUGAGGUUUGGUGGAGUGUAUGGAAAAGCAAAUGUAGGCAUGAGUAACGAUAAUGCGGGAGAGUAACCCGCACACCGCAAGACCAAGGUUUCCUGAUCAACGCUAAUCGGAUCAGGGUUAGUCGGGUCCUAAGGGUAAGCCGAACGGUGAUCUCGAUGGAUAAUCGGUUAAUAUUCCGAUACUGACAUAUACCUCGAUGGAGAGACGAAGGAACGUAAGUGCCGCCACCUGACGGAAUAGGUGGUUAAAGGGCUUAGGUAUAGGGGCAGAUUAAGAGUUAGUCCUUGCUGAAACCUGACAGUACAGAGAGCCUACGGGCAAUUUGAUAGUGCACCCAAGUCGACUUCCGAGAAAAUCUUCUAAGUUAUAGUAUAUGUCACCCGUACCGUAAACCGACACAGGUGGUCGAGGAGAGUAUCCUAAGGUGCUCGAGUGAAUCACGGUUAAGGAACUAGGCAAAUUAACCCCGUAACUUCGGGAAAAGGGGUCCCAUCGCGAGGUGGGCGCAGCGAAGAGGUCCAGGCGACUGUUUAUCAAAAACACAGGGCUCUGCAAAUUCGAAAGAAGACGUAUAGGGCCUGACACCUGCCCGGUGCUGGAAGGUUAAGAGGGGAUGUCAUCGCAAGAGAAGCAUUGAAUCGAAGCCCCAGUAAACGGCGGCCGUAACUAUAACGGUCCUAAGGUAGCGAAAUUCCUUGUCGGGUAAGUUCCGACCUGCACGAAUGGUGUAACGAUCUGGACACUGUCUCAACCGUGAGCUCGGUGAAAUUGUAGUCCCGGUGAUGAUGCCGGGUACCCGCAACGGGACGAAAAGACCCCGUGAACCUUUACUAUAGCUUAACGCUGAAUUUGGGUACACAAUGUGUAGGAUAGGCAGGAGACUACGAAGCGGGCACGCCAGUGUUCGUGGAGUCGACGUUGAAAUACUGCCCUUUGUGUACUUGAGUUCUAACCCUCGAGAGGGGACACCGUUUGGUGGGUAGUUUGACUGGGGUGGUCGCCUCCAAAAGAGUAACGGAGGCUUCCCAAGGUACCCUCAGCACGAAUGGUAACCGUGCGUAGAGUGCAAUAGCAUAAGGGUGCUUGACUGUGAGACCAACAAGUCGAUCAGGUGCGAAAGCAGGGUAUAGUGAUCCGGUGGUUCUGCGUGGACUGGCCAUCGCUCAAAGGAUAAAA
rnacentral:rRNA from 1 species